UCGAGAAUCUUCGGCAAUGGGCGCAAGCCUGACCGAGCGACGCCGCGUGCGGGAUGAAGGCCUUCGGGUUGUAAACCGCUGUCGUAGGGGAGGAAGGUCUGGUGUAUAGCCAGGCUUGACCGAUCCUAGGAGGAAGGGCCGGCUAAUCUCGUGCCAGCAGCCGCGGUAAUACGAGAGGCCCAAACGUUAUUCGGAUUUACUGGGCUUAAAGAGUUCGUAGGCGGCGCAGGAAGUGGGGUGUGAAAGCCCUCGGCUCAACCGAGGAAUUGCGCUCCAAACUACUGUGCUCGAGGGACCUAGAGGUGAGCAGAACUGAUGGUGGAGCGGUGAAAUGCGUUGAUAUCAUCAGGAAUACCGGAGGCGAAGGCGGCUCACUGGGGGUCUUCUGACGCUGAGGAACGAAAGCCAGGGGAGCGAACGG
rnacentral:rRNA from 1 species